GUUUGGAAAAUUUGCAGCCUGACCAUGUGGAAGAAUAGAAAAACUCAUCUCCUGGGGAGAAAUUCAAGCUGCCAGCUGCAAAAAUUGGCUCCUAGGCAGAAGGGACUUACCUUGUCUCAGAAGAGACUUUGGACUGUAACCUUUUGAGUUAAUGCUGGAAUAAGACUUUCGGUGGCCGUUGAGGAGGAAUAAUUGUAUUUUGCAAUUUGAAAAGGACAUCAAAUUGGGGAGGGGCCAGGGGCAGAAUGAUAUGGUUUGGCCCUGUGCCCCCACCCAAAUCUUUUCUCAAGUUGUAAUCCCCAUGAGUCAAGGGAGGGACCUGCUGGGAGGUGAAUGGAUCAUAGGGGCAGAUUUCCCCCAUGCUCUUCUCAUGAUGUGAGUGAAUUCUCAUGAGAUCUGAUGGUUUAAGUGUUUGAGACUUCCCUCACCGGAUCUCUCUCUCCUCCUGCCUUGUGAAAAAGGUACUUGCUUCUCCUUUGCCUUCUACCAUGAUUGUAAGUUUUCUGAGGCCUCCCCAGCCAUAUGGAACGGUGAGUCAAUUACACCUCUUUUCUUC
rnacentral:lncRNA from 1 species